CAGCAGCCGCGGUAAUACCGGUGGCUCGAGUGGUGGCCGCUAUUAUUGGGUCUAAAGGGUCCGUAGCCGGCUUGAUAAGUUACCUGGGAAAUCCGGUGGCCUAACCAUCGGGCGGCCGGGUAAUACUAUCGAGCUUGGGACUAGGAGAGACCAGAGGUACUCAUGAGGUAGGGGUGAAAUCCUGUAAUCUUAUGAGGACCACCAGUGGCGAAGGCGUCUGGUUAGAAUAGGUCCGACGGUGAGGGACGAAGGCUGGGGGCGCAAACCGGAUUAGAUACCCGGGUAGUCCCAGCAGUAAACGAUGCCAGCUAUGUGUUGCUGAAACCAUGGGUUCCAGCAGUGCCGAAGGGAAGCCGUGAAGCUGGCCACCUGGGAAGUACGGUCGCAAGGCUGAAACUUAAAGGAAUUGGCGGG
rnacentral:rRNA from 1 species